UGCGUAGGCGGCUCUUUAAGUCAGUGGUGAAAUCUUACCGCUUAACGGUAAAAUUGCCAUUGAUACUGAAGAGCUUGAGUACAGUUGAGGUAAGCGGAAUGUGUAGUGUAGCGGUGAAAUGCUUAGAUAUUACACAGAACACCAAUUGCGAAGGCAGCUUACUAAACUGUUACUGACGCUGAUGCACGAAAGCGUGGGGAGCGAACAGGAUUAGAUACCCUGGUAGUCCACGCCGUAAACGAUGCUCACUCGCUGUUUGCGAUACACAGCAAGCGGCCAAGCGAAAGCAUUAAGUGAGCCACCUGGGGAGUACGAUCGCAAGGUUGAA
rnacentral:rRNA from 1 species